UUCUGGGAAGAUUGGCAGAUUGAGAGCUCUUUCUUGAUUUGGUGGAUGGUGGUGCAUUGCCGUUCUUAGUUGGUGGAGCGAUUUGUGUGGUUAAUUCCGAUAACGAACGAGACUCCAGCCUAUUAAAAAGGUGCGUAGUCCUCUGCACCUUGCACGCUUCUUAGAGGGAAAAGCGGCUCCUAGCCACACGAAACAAAGCAAUGACAUAUCUGUAAUGCCUUUAGAU
rnacentral:rRNA from 1 species